AUUGAACGCUGGCGGCAGGCUUAACACAUGCAAGUCGAGCGGAGAUGAGGUGCUUGCACCUUAUCUUAGCGGCGGACGGGUGAGUAAUGCUUAGGAAUCUGCCUAUUAGUGGGGGACAACAUUCCGAAAGGAAUGCUAAUACCGCAUACGUCCUACGGGAGAAAGCAGGGGAUCUUCGGACCUUGCGCUAAUAGAUGAGCCUAAGUCGGAUUAGCUAGUUGGUGGGGUAAAGGCCUACCAAGGCGACGAUCUGUAGCGGGUCUGAGGGGAUGAUCCGCCACACUGGGACUGAGACACGGCCCAGACUCCUACGGGAGGCAGCAGUGGGGAAUAUUGGACAAUGGGGGGAACCCUGAUCCAGCCAUGCCGCGUGUGUGAAGAAGGCCUUAUGGUUGUAAAGCACUUUAAGCGAGGAGGAGGCUACUGAGACUAAUACUCUUGGAUAGUGGACGUUACUCGCAGAAUAAGCACCGGCUAACUCUGUGCCAGCAGCCGCGGUAAUAC
rnacentral:rRNA from 1 species